rnacentral:rRNA from 1 species
UACAGAGGGGGCAAGCGUUGUUCGGAAUUACUGGGCGUAAAGGGCGCGUAGGCGGCCCGUUAAGUCGAACGUGAAAUCCCCAGGCUCAACCUGGGAACUGCGUCCGAUACUGGCGGGCUUGAAUCCGGGAGAGGGAUGCGGAAUUCCAGGUGUAGCGGUGAAAUGCGUAGAUAUCUGGAGGAACACCGGUGGCGAAGGCGGUAUCCUGGACCGGCAUUGACGCUGAGGCGCGAAAGCCAGGGGAGCAAACGGG